UCUAUGCCCCACUACAAGGGCAGCAUCAAGCCCAGCUGAGUUUGGGGGCUGGGCCUGCUGUUUCCCAGGCUCAGGAAUUAUUCAGUUCUUCAAUUCAACCAUAUAGGUCGCAGCCAGCCUUUAUGCAAAGCAGCCUUUCCCAGCCUUCUGUGGUCCUCUCUGGUACAGCUCUCCACAACUUCCCAGCAGUCCAGCACCAGGAGCUUGCCAAGGCACAGUCAGGUCUUGCCUUUCAGCAGACUUCAAAUACUCAGCCCAUCCCUAUACUGUAUGAACAUCAGCUGGGUCAGGCAUCAGGACUAGGAAGUUCUCAGCUGAUUGAUACACAUCUUCUUCAGGCAAGAGCAAAUCUUACUCAAGCGUCAAAUCUUUACUCUGGACAAGUACAGCAGCCUGGUCAGACAAAUUUUUAUAACACUGCCCAAUCACCAAGUGCUCUCCAGCAGGUAAACUAUGGCAUGGUUACAGUACCAUUACCAGCAUCCCAGCUUUCCUUGACUAAUUUUGGAUCUACAGGACAGCCUCUGAUUGCCUUGCCUCAGACACUUCAGCCCCAGUUACAGCACACAACCCCACAAGCACAGGCUCAGAGCUUGAGCCGUCCUGCCCAAGUAAGCCAGCCUUUCAGAGGGUUAAUCCCUGCUGGAACGCAGCAUGGCAUGAUGGCAACCACAGGAAAAAUGUCUGAAAUGGAACUAAAAGCCUUUGGGAGUGGCAUUGAUAUCAAACCAGGAACACCACCAAUUGGUGGUCGAAGCACCACGCCAACAUCUAGUCCAUUCAGGGCUACAUCAACAAGUCCAAACAGCCAGUCUAGCAAAAUGAACAGCAUUGUUUAUCAGAAACAGUUCCAGUCAGCCCCUGCCACAGUGAGAAUGGCACAGCCGUUUCCUGCACAGUUUGCACCCCAGAUUCUCUCUCAGCCUAACCUGGUCCCUCCAUUGGUAAGAGCCCCACAUACUAACACCUUCCCAGCGCCUGUACAGAGGCCACCAAUGGCACUGGCCAGUCAGAUGCCUCCUCCUCCGCUGACCACAGGCCUCAUGAGCCAUGCCCGUUUGCCACCUGUAGCCAGGGGCCCUUGUGGAUCACUGUCUGGAGUCAGAGGCAAUCAGGCCCAGGCUGCGCUGAAGGCUGAACAAG
rnacentral:lncRNA from 1 species